rnacentral:rRNA from 1 species
UACGUAGGGUGCAAGCGUUGUCCGGAAUUAUUGGGCGUAAAGAGCUCGUAGGCGGUCUGUCGCAUCUGCUGUGAAAACUCGGGGCUUAACCCCGGGCCUGCAGUGGGUACGGGCAGACUAGAGUGCGGUAGGGGAGACUGGAAUUCCUGGUGUAGCGGUGAAAUGCGCAGAUAUCAGGAGGAACACCGGUGGCGAAGGCGGAUCUCUGGGCCUUACCUGACGCUCAGGCGCGAAAGCUAGGGGAGCGAACUGG